GGAGCCCUCUUUGGAUCCUCUGUUCCCCCCUCCCCAAGCCCCACUCUCUGCGUCUCCCCUGCUCACUCUCUUUCUCUCAAAAAUAAAUAAAUGAACACUGGUGUUCAUUUAGGUCUCACACUGGUGGCCUGGGGGCCAGACACAGCCCUGAAGAUGUUUCCACCGGUCAGCAUUUCUGCACGGCCACCAUCAGCUGAGUCCACACAGUCAACGCACGGCCGUGCUGCAGGGCACGUCAGGCCUGAGUCCCUCCUUUGUUUCCUGGACUGGUCCCUUAGGCGUUUACGCCUGGGAGCUUUGGAGCACCUGCCCACACUCUCCCUUCUUCUCCUCUAGCUCACCCUGUAGGCCCACCUGGGGCGGGAGGAGACGGGCUCAGAUGAGGAGACGGAGGCGAAGUUGUGCGAGAAAGACUCUAGCCCCCGGGUAAGAGCAGGGCUCCUGCUUUCACCAGCUCUGCUUUCUGAGUUGCUUGUCCAGGCCACUGGGAGCGGACGACACAACUCCUCGCAAAGCAGCCACGCAGCAAGCAUUAGCUCCUCCUCCUCCACGUUUCACAGCCUCAUCGAAUGACACUGACAUCUGCAGGCAAGAACUCCAGCUGUGCUGGGACCCAGCAGGGGAGUUGCUGUCCCGAAGAGAAGAAGACCCUGGGGGAGUCCCUGCGGCAGGGGCCGGCUGGAGCUGCGGUCACCCAACCACCGGGCCGGCAGCCCUCAGCGGGCCC